UACGGGGGGAGCAAGCGUUGUUCGGAUUUACUGGGCGUAAAGAGCGUGUAGGCGGCCUGACAGGUCUGCUGUGAAAACUCGAGGCUCAACCUCGAGAUGUCGGCGGAAACCGUCUGGCUAGAGUCCGGAAGAGGAGAGUGGAAUUCCUGGUGUAGCGGUGAAAUGCGCAGAUAUCAGGAAGAACACCUAUGGCGAAGGCAGCUCUCUGGGACGGUACUGACGCUGAGACGCGAAAGCGUGGGGAGCGAACAGG
rnacentral:rRNA from 1 species